GGUCUUGCAGCAUAUUUUGAGCAGCAGAGCAGAUCUCUCAGAAGGCUGCAAAUCCAUCCCACAAAGAUGUUUCCAUAUAAGAGGCAAAAGCUCAGGAUUAUUUUGAAGAAAAUUACAAUUUAGAGGUAUCAGAAGAGUAACUGGCUCACUGGAUUCCCUCUGCCUAGACUACCCUUCCCCUUAUUUUCAUAUUGCUAAUCCUCUUACCUCAUUCAAGUCUUUUCUCAAAUGUCCUUUAAAUGUGGUCUACCAUGGCCAUCAUAUUUAAAAUGUAAACCCUUAGCCCAUUUAAGAUGUCCAUGAUUUUCUUCUAUUGUACUCUAUUUUUGCUCCUUACCGUAUCUUAUCCACAAGGAUACUAUGUAGUUUACAUAUUCAACUGUCUAACCUUAGUCCUUCUGAGAUAAAAGAAGCUCCACCAUAGAACAGGGAUUCUUCUAUGUUUGUUCAGUGUAGGAUAAUUAACACGUAGUGUAUAUUCUGUAAAUAUUCACUGGAAAAAUAAAUAAAUGCCUUCUUCUUAAGCCAACAGUCACUCUUCUUUCUAAGCCUCAAGGAAAAGUAUAUCUUAAAUAUCUUAUUUUAUAAAAACAUUCAAAUAGGGAAAAUAUAUUUUUAAAAAACAGUAUGAAAAAACUCAUACCAAAAAUAUAUUUGGCUUACUAAACUUAUGAGUUCAAAUAAAUUCUUUAAAAUGAGAGAGACACUUCAGCAUGAACAAAAAGCAAAAUCCCACAGGAGGCCAGAUCACUUAAAGCAAGGAGUUCCA
rnacentral:lncRNA from 1 species